rnacentral:rRNA from 1 species
AGUGAACGCUGGCGGUAGGCCUAACACAUGCAAGUCGAACGGCAGCACAGUAAGAGCUUGCUCUUACGGGUGGCGAGUGGCGGACGGGUGAGGAAUACAUCGGAAUCUACUUUUUCGUGGGGGAUAACGUAGGGAAACUUACGCUAAUACCGCAUACGACCUACGGGUGAAAGCAGGGGAUCUUCGGACCUUGCGCGAUUGAAUGAGCCGAUGUCGGAUUAGCUAGUUGGCGAGGUAAAGGCCCACCAAGGCGACGAUCCGUAGCUGGUCUGAGAGGAUGAUCAGCCACACUGGAACUGAGACACGGUCCAGACUCCUACGGGAGGCAGCAGUGGGGAAUAUUGGACAAUGGGCGCAAGCCUGAUCCAGCCAUACCGCGUGGGUGAAGAAGGCCUUCGGGUUGUAAAGCCCUUUUGUUGGGAAAGAAAAGCAGCAGGUUAAUACCCCGCUGUUCUGACGGUACCCAAAGAAUAAGCACCGGCGAACUUCGU